UGAGGCGUAGCCAAGCGGUAAGGCAGCGGCCUUUGGAGCCGCCAUUCGGAGGUUCGAAUCCUCCCGCCUCAGCCA
rnacentral:tRNA from 1 species